rnacentral:rRNA from 1 species
AAAUUGAAGAGUUUGAUCAUGGCUCAGAUUGAACGCUGGCGGCAGGCCUAACACAUGCAAGUCGAACGGUAACAGGAAGAAGCUUGCUUCUUUGCUGACGAGUGGCGGACGGGUGAGUAAUGUCUGGGAAACUGCCUGAUGGAGGGGGAUAACUACUGGAAACGGUAGCUAAUACCGCAUAACGUCGCAAGACCAAAGAGGGGGACCUUCGGGCCUCUUGCCAUCGGAUGUGCCCAGAUGGGAUUAGCUAGUAGGUGGGGUAACGGCUCACCUAGGCGACGAUCCCUAGCUGGUCUGAGAGGAUGACCAGCCACACUGGAACUGAGACACGGUCCAGACUCCUACGGGAGGCAGCAGUGGGGAAUAU